AAGAUUAACUGCACAGGGUGCGAGACAGUUGAUUUCAGAUCCCUUUGAAGACCUUCCAGGGCGUAAUUAUGCUUUGUUCUCUUGUGCUACUGUAUGGAGGCAGAACUCACAGAAGUCCUUAAUAUCUGUGCAUGCAGUUCUACCAAUGACCUCUGAAGGAGGAGGAAAGGAAUCAAAGAAGAGGCAAAGGAAUCAGAGAGGAGUCAGAGCAAAGAUACUGUAAGCAGUAAGUUUAGUUUGGAAUUUGUAUAAAAAUAUAGGCUUGUGCCUCUAGUUAAAUGGCUUGGUUUCACUGACUUUUAUAAUACAAAUAUCACCUUUGGAAUUUAUUCAAACAAAAUGCUUGCAGGUUUUCACUGUUUUGCAUUAAUUGAGGGGCCCAUUCUUCAGCCAGGCUAAGUGAAUAGUCUUCAAACAAAUUGAGUAGUGGACCUGGGUGCAACUGAGUACCUAUUCCUUAUUAUGGGCUAGAUAAACAGCUUAUUAGGGCUCAACAUUGUGCUGAUAACAAUGAUAAUAUGAAAACAAAAUGUUAAGGAAAACUCUACACAGUUAACUCAAAUGCAUUUGAUUACCAGGUUUUCCUGAGUUUCUGAACUCUUUCUGGUAAGUAGUGUGGCUAAGACUUUAUUAACUGAGGUGAUACUCUGCUAAGACAUUUAUUUUUCUAAGAAAGAAACGUAGCAUCUUCUUCACUGUUUAUGUGAAUAGCACUUGGUUGUCCCCAGUUACUUGUGUAGCUCAUCUGUCUGUCAGGGUAUAGUUCAGCUGCUUCUGCAAGAUAUUUUAGACUGCUGUUUAUUCAAGUUUUCUUUAUUUUCACUUUGACCAGCUUUAUCUGGUUACUUUUAGAGAAGUCCCAGUUUAGUUUGAAAGAAUGCUUGUUUGCUGAAAUAGUGAAACUUGACUGAAUACUGGAGGCAGUUUCUUGGCAGUGAAUUUUGAGCUUACAAAAUUCAAUAUUCUGUGUGAAUAUUUGAAUGUGACUUCUUCAUCCACUGAGUGGAACAGAAAAACUGCCGUGAGACUUGCUUAUUUUAAUUAGGCCUGCCAGCCAGAAUUUAAAUAUUAAAGUACUUUUUAUUAAGCGGCUUAAAAUAAGGAGUAGGAUAAGAAUUAGUCAGAACUUUGGUGAUGAUUUAAAGUGUAAUAAAUUUUCUGCAGUUGCAGCUCUUCUAUGAAGU
rnacentral:lncRNA from 1 species